rnacentral:rRNA from 1 species
CCUACGGGAGGCAGCAGUGGGGGAUAUUGCACAAUGGGGGAAACCCUGAUGCAGCGACGCCGCGUGGGUGAAGAAGCGCCUCGGCGCGUAAAGCCCUGUCAGUAGGGAAGAAAAUGACGGUAACUGAAGAAGAAGCCCCGGUUAACUACGUGCCAGCAGCCGCGGUAAUACGUAGGGGGCAAGCGUUAUCCGGAUUUACUGGGUGUAAAGGGGGCGCAGACGGCGAUGCAAGCCAGGAGUGAAAGCCCGGGGCCCAACCCCGGGACUGCUCUUGGAACUGCGUGGCUAGAGUGCAGGAGGGGCAGGCGGAAUUCCUGGUGUAGCGGUGAAAUGCGUAGAUAUCAGGAGGAACACCGGUGGCGAAGGCGGCCUGCUGGACUGCAACUGACGUUGAGGCCCGAAAGCGUGGGGAGCAAACAGGAUUAGAUACCCUAGUAGUC